UGGUGGAGUGAUUUGUCUGGUUAAUUCAGUUAACGAACGAGACCUUAACCUGCUAAAUAGUUUUCUGAAACUUCGGUUUCAGCUUAACUUCUUAGAGGGACUUUGCGUGUUUAACGCAAGGAAGUUUGAGGCAAUAACA
rnacentral:rRNA from 1 species